rnacentral:tRNA from 1 species
GAAAGCAUAGGAAACUAAAUUUAUCCUCCCUUCUAAGCAGGCGGUCGAAGGUUCGAAUCCUUCUGCCUUCA